GACGAACGCUGGCGGCAUGCCUAAUACAUGCAAGUCGAACGCUGUAGCACUCUGCUUGCAGAGUGCGGAUGAGUGGCGAACGGGUGAGUAACACGUGGGAAAUCUGCCUAUAAGUGGGGGAUAACAUUCGGAAACGGAUGCUAAUACCGCAUAUAUUCUUGGACCGCCUGGUCCUUGAAAGAAAGACGGCUUUGCUGUCGCUUAUAGAUGAUCCCGCGGCGUAUUAGUUAGUUGGUGGGGUAAAGGCCUACCAAGACAAUGAUACGUAGCCGACCUGAGAGGGUGAUCGGCCACACUGGGGACUGAGACACGGCCCAGACUCCUACGGGAGGCAGCAGUAGGGAAUCUUCCACAAUGGGCGAAAGCCUGAUGGAGCAAUGCCGCGUGAAUGAAGAAGGUCUUCGGAUCGUAAAGUUCUGUUAUUAGAGAAGAACAAGUCAAGGAGUAACUGUCUUGACUUUGACGGUACCUAACCAGAAAGUC
rnacentral:rRNA from 1 species